AGGGGGGGGGGGGUGGCCUAAUACAUGGCAAGGUCGGAACGCUUUGUGGUUCAACUGAUUUGAAGAGCUUGCUCAGAUAUGACGAUGGACAUUGCAAAGAGUGGCGAACGGGUGAGUAACACGUGGGAAACCUACCUCUUAGCAGGGGAUAACAUUUGGAAACAGAUGCUAAUACCGUAUAACAAUGACAACCGCAUGGUUGUUAUUUAAAAGAUGGUUCUGCUAUCACUAAGAGAUGGUCCCGCGGUGCAUUAGCUAGUUGGUAAGGUAAUGGCUUACCAAGGCGAUGAUGCAUAGCCGAGUUGAGAGACUGAUCGGCCACAAUGGGACUGAGACACGGCCCAUACUCCUACGGGAGGCAGCAGUAGGGAAUCUUCCACAAUGGGCGAAAGCCUGAUGGAGCAACGCCGCGUGUGUGAUGAAGGGUUUCGGCUCGUAAAACACUGUUGUAAGAGAAGAAUGACAUUGAGAGUAACUGUUCAAUGUGUGACGGUAUCUUACCAGAAAGGAACGGCUAAAUACGUGCCAGCAGCCGCGGUAAUACGUAUGUUCCAAGCGUUAUCCGGAUUUAUUGGGCGUAAAGCGAGCGCAGACGGUUAUUUAAGUCUGAAGUGAAAGCCCUCAGCUCAACUGAGGAAUUGCUUUGGAAACUGGAUGACUUGAGUGCAGUAGAGGAAAGUGGAACUCCAUGUGUAGCGGUGAAAUGCGUAGAUAUAUGGAAGAACACCAGUGGCGAAGGCGGCUUUCUGGACUGUAACUGACGUUGAGGCUCGAAAGUGUGGGUAGCAAACAGGAUUAGAUACCCUGGUAGUCCACACCGUAAACGAUGAGUGCUAGGUGUUUGAGGGUUUCCGCCCUUAAGUGCCGCAGCUAACGCAUUAAGCACUCCGCCUGGGGAGUACGACCGCAAGGUUGAAACUCAAAGGAAUUGACGGGGACCCGCACAAGCGGUGGAGCAUGUGGUUUAAUUCGAAGCAACGCGAAGAACCUUACCAGGUCUUGACAUCCCUUGACAACUCCAGAGAUGGAGCGUUCCCUUCGGGGACAAGGUGACAGGUGGUGCAUGGUUGUCGUCAGCUCGUGUCGUGAGAUGUUGGGUUAAGUCCCGCAACGAGCGCAACCCUUAUUACUAGUUGCCAGCAUUCAGUUGGGCACUCUAGUGAGACUGCCGGUGACAAACCGGAGGAAGGUGGGGAUGACGUCAAAUCAUCAUGCCCCUUAUGACCUGGGCUACACACGUGCUACAAUGGCGUAUACAACGAGUUGCCAACCCGCGAGGGUGAGCUAAUCUCUUAAAGUACGUCUCAGUUCGGAUUGUAGGCUGCAACUCGCCUACAUGAAGUCGGAAUCGCUAGUAAUCGCGGAUCAGCACGCCGCGGUGAAUACGUUCCCGGGUCUUGUACACACCGCCCGUCACACCAUGAGAGUUUGUAACACCCAAAGCCGGUGGGGUAACCUUCGGGAGCCAGCCGUCUAAAGGGUGGACCGAG
rnacentral:rRNA from 1 species